rnacentral:rRNA from 1 species
UUAUUGAAAUAAACCUGAUGAGUUGUUGCUGGUUCUCCCNGGAAGAUUGUGCGCACUUGUCUUCUUUAUAUCUCCNCCUGUGCGCCUUUUGUAUACCUGGAUAUCUCUCCAAGUGCUUGCCCUUGGGUUUGAGGAUUAUUGUCUUUUCCUUACAUUUCCAGGCCUAUGUUUCUUCUUAUACCCCAAUGUAUGUUAUACAAUGUAAUAAAAUUUGGCUCUUCGUGGCCAUUAUAAACAAAUACAACUUUCAGCGNCGGAUCUCUUGGCUCUCGCAUCGAUGAAUAACGCAGCGAAAUGCGAUAAGUAAUGUGAAUUGCNUAAUUCAGUGAAUCAUCGGAUCGUUGAACGCUCCUUGCGCUYCUUGAGUAUUCCGAGGAGCAUGCCUGUUUGAGUGUCAUUAAUAUAUCAACCUCUACAGCUUUUGCUUAUUUGANUGUUGGAUGUGGGGGUUUUUUGCUGGCCUUUCUGAGGUCAGCUCCCCUGAAAUUCAUUAGCGGAACAAUUUGUUAACUGUUCGUUGGUGUGAUAACUAUCUACGCUAUUGACGGAAAGCAGUUCAGCUUCUAACAGUCCAUUGACUUGGACAAUCUUUUUAUUAAUGUGACCUCAAAUCAGGUAGGACUACCCGCUGAACUUAAGCAUAUCAAUAAGCGGAGGAAAAGAAACUAACAAGGAUUCCCCUAGUAACUGCGAGUGAAGCGGGAAAAGCUCAAAUUUAAAUUCUGGCAGUCUUNGGCUGUCCGAGUUGUAAUCUAGAGAAGUAUUAUCCGCGCUGGACCGUGUACAAGUCUCCUGGAAUGGAGCGUCAUAGAGGGUGAGAAUCCCGUCUUCGACACGGACCGCCAGGGCUUUGNGAUGUGCUCUCAAAGAGUCGAGUUGUUNGGGAAUGCAGCUCAAAAUGGGUGGUAAAUUCCAUCUAAAGAUAAAUAUUGGCGAGAGACCGAUAGCGCACAAGUNCCGNGAGGGAAAGAUGAAAAGAACUUNGGAAAGAGAGUUACACAGUACGNGAAAUUGGAGAAAGGGAAACGCUNGAACUCAGUCGCGUUGGUCAGGGAUCCCCCUUGCUUUUGCUUGGUGUACUUUGUGGUNGACGGUUCAGCAUCAAUUUUGUCCAUUGGAAAAAGGUCAGGGGAAUGUAGCUUCUUGGGAUGUGUUAUAGCCCUUGGUUGCAUACAAUGAUUGGGAUUGAGGAACUCAGCACGCCGCAAGGCCGGG